GAUGAACGCUGGCGGCGUGCCUAAUACAUGCAAGUCGAGCGAACGGACGAGAAGCUUGCUUCUCUGAUGUUAGCGGCGGACGGGUGAGUAACACGUGGAUAACCUACCUAUAAUACUGGGAUAACUUCGGGAAACCGGCGCUAAUACCGGAUAAUAUUCUGAACCGCAUGGUUCAAAAGUGAAAGACGGUCUUGCUGUCACUUAUAGCUGGAUCCGCGCUGCAUUAGCUAGUUGGUAAGGUAACGGCUUAUCAAGGCAACGAUGCAUAGCCGACCUGAGAGAGGGAUAGGCCACACGAGAGCGUAGACGCGCACAAGGGGACUACGAGAGGCAGCAGUAGGCAAUGGUAGGCAGUAGGGGAGAAUCUGACGGAACAGGGGGACGUGUGUGGCAGCGAUGUUGGGAUCGUGAAAAUCGGUUACUAGUGGAGAACAUAUGUGUACGGAAAUGUAGAGAGCGUGACGGUAACGAAUCAGAAAGCCACGGCUAACUACGUG
rnacentral:rRNA from 1 species